rnacentral:lncRNA from 1 species
GAUUGUAUAUAAUAAAUUUAAUUUAUAAAUAUUGUUUGUCUUAAGAGUUAAAUUAUACUUUUGGGUCCUCAAAUUAUAGCUUGCGUUACACUUUAUUAUCAAACUUAAAUUUAUUAUUAUAACUUUUCAUUCACACUUUAUUAUUUAUUACAAUUAAAAGUUAUAUUUUAAUUUAUUUAAUUAAAUAUUAAUGAGUCUGUAAUAUAAAAGUGAUACAAUAAUAUCGUGAUUAAUAACGUGAUAAAAACAACACGUCAAUAUUUAGUCAACUAAAUUGAAUCGUAGAAUUUUCGACUAAAAAAUUACACUGAAUAAAAGUUUGAGAACUAAAGCAUUACAAGUCUUACAGUUUGCGGAUUAAAAGUGUAAUUUA